rnacentral:rRNA from 1 species
ACUGGAGAGUUUGAUCCUGGCUCAGGGUGAACGCUGGCGGCGUGCCUAACACAUGCAAGUCGAGCGGGCCGGGGCUUCGGCCCCGGCUAGCGGCGAACGGCUGAGUAACACGUGGGUAACCUGCCCCCAAGUGGGGGAUAACCCUGGGAAACCGGGGCUAAUACCGCAUGUGGUUGCCGGGCGGAUGCUCGGCAACUAAAGGGCCCGCAAGGGCUCGCUUGGGGAGGGGCCCGCGGCCUAUCAGGUAGUUGGUGGGGUAAUGGCCCACCAAGCCGAUGACGGGUAGCUGGCCUGAGAGGGUGGUCAGCCAGACCGGGACUGAGACACGGCCCGGACUCCUACGGGAGGCAGCAGUGGGGGAUCUUGGGCAAUGGGCGAAAGCCUGACCCAGCGACGCCGCGUGGAGGAAGAAGCCCUUCGGGGUGUAAACUCCUUUUGCCGGGGAAGAAACCUGACGGUACCCGGCGAAUAAGGGCCUGCUAACUACGUGCCAGCAGCCGCGGUAAUACGUAGGGCCCGAGCGUUACCCGGAUUUACUGGGCGUAAAGGGUCCGCAGGCGGCCCGGCAAGUCGGGCGUGAAAUUCCUCGGCUUAACCGAGGAGCUGCGUCCGAUACUACCGGGCUCGAGGACGGGAGAGGGAGGUGGAAUUCCCGGAGUAGCGGUGAAAUGCGUAGAUACCGGGAGGAACACCGGUGGCGAAGGCGGCCUCCUGGCCCGUUCCUGACGCUCAGGGACGAAAGCGUGGGGAGCGAACCGGAUUAGAUACCCGGGUAGUCCACGCCCUAAACGGUGGGUGCUAGGUGUGGGCAGGUAUCGACCCCUGUCCGCGCCGAAGGUAACCCGUUAAGCACCCCGCCUGGGGACUACGGCCGCAAGGCUAAAACUCAAAGGAAUUGACGGGGGCCCGCACAAGCGGCGGAGCGUGUGGUUUAAUUCGAUGCUACGCGAAGAACCUUACCAGGGCUUGACAUGCCGGAAGUAGGACCCCGAAAGGGGAACGACCCGUAAAGGCGGGAGCCGGCACAGGUGCUGCAUGGCUGUCGUCAGCUCGUGCCGUGAGGUGUUGGGUUAAGUCCCAGAACGAGCGCAACCCCCGCCCCUAGUUGCACUCUCUAGGGGGACUGCCGCCGAAAGGCGGAGGAAGGUGGGGAUGACGUCAAGUCAUCAUGGCCCUUAUGCCCUGGGCUACACACACGCUACAAUGGGCCGGUACAAUGGGCAGCGAAGCCGCGAGGCGGAGCGAAUCCCAUCAAAACGGCCCUCAGUUGGGAUUGCAGGCUGCAACUCGCCUGCAUGAACGCGGAGUCGCUAGUAACCGCAGGUCAGCACCACUGCGGUGAAUACGUUCUCGGGCCUUGUACACACCGCCCGUCACGUCCCGAAAGUCGGCAACACCCGAAGGCGGUGGCCUAACCCGCUUCGGCGGGAGGGAGCCGACGAGGGUGGGGCCGGCGAUUGGGACGAAGUCGUAACAAGGUAGCCGUACGGGAACGUGCGGCUGGAUCACCUCCUUUCUAGGGAGU